UACGUAGGGGGCUAGCGUUGUCCGGAUUUAUUGGGCGUAAAGAGCGUGUAGGCGGCUUGGCAAGUCUGCUGUGAAAACUCGAGGCUCAACCUCGAGCUGUCGGUGGAAACUGCUUGGCUAGAGUCCGGAAGAGGAGAGUGGAAUUCCUGGUGUAGCGGUGAAAUGCGCAGAUAUCAGGAAGAACACCUAUGGCGAAGGCAGCUCUCUGGGACGGUACUGACGCUGAGACGCGAAGGCGUGGGGAGCAAACAGG
rnacentral:rRNA from 1 species